GAUGAACGCUAGCAGCAGGCCUAACACAUGCAAGUCGAGGGGUAGCAGGAUUAAGCUUGCUUAAUUGCUGACGACCGGCGCACGGGUGCGUAACGCGUAUGCAACCUACCUUAUACUGGGGUAUAGCCCGGAGAAAUUCGGAUUAAUCCCCCAUAGUACUAAUGAAUCGCAUGGUUUAUUAGUUAAAGCAUUGCGGUAUAAGAUGGGCAUGCGUCCUAUUAGCUAGAUGGUGAGGUAACGGCUCACCAUGGCUACGAUAGGUAGGGGGCCUGGGAGGGUGGUCCCCCACACUGGUACUGAGACACGGACCAGACUCCUACGGGAGGCAGCAGUGAGGAAUAUUGGUCAAUGGGCGCAAGCUUGAACCAGCCAUGCCGCGUGCAGGAAGAAUGCCCUAUGGGUUGUAAACCGCUUUUAUUUGGGAAUAAACCUCUUUACGUGUAGAGAGCUGAAGGUACCAAAUGAAUAAGCACCGGCUAACUCCGUGCCAGCCGCCGCCGUAA
rnacentral:rRNA from 1 species